rnacentral:ribozyme from 1 species
CGCCCAGCAACUUCUAUCCCUAAUUCCUCGUGGUACCGGCCGGAAACUAUGAGCCACCUAAGGAAAGAUCUGGUAACCAACCCCAGGGGGAACUUUGGUCGUAGGCUGACUGGAAAGG